rnacentral:lncRNA from 1 species
UUUAAAUGUGAUGCAUGCAUAUAAAUUCAUGGGAUGCUUCUGAAAGACUGUUCAGGAUAUUGAAUAUUGCCACAUGAAACUGACAUCGGAGCUGUUGUGAUGGGGCACUAAAUCGAAAGGGGAUAUGAACACUAUGCUAAUCUGUUUUGGAAUUGCAUUGGUUUCCGCUCAAUACAAUGUGGCUGGAAGUAAAUGUUCUUUGCUCUUGAGUUCGGCACAUACUUUAGUGCUGAAUCAGAAAAGUGAGAGGUCAUCCUAAUGGUCAGACUAGAUGUAUGAUAGGCAAGAAGAUGGAUAGGUAAAUAGAUACAUUAAAACACACACACACAAAUAGGUUGGCUGGUAAGGAAGCUGUAUCCCUUUGGGUUUCCUGCCUCCUAUUCAAAUCUGGGGCGGGGGGGGGAUUCUUCUGCUGUUGUCAAUGGGAUAUGUUCCCAUGUGGCCCUGGUCUGGAUAGGGAUGGUGACAAUAAUAAUGGAUUAGAUCUUUAUCUCCCUUUUCCAUCAUUCUGAUUCUGCUUCCACUGAAAACACUUGUUAUUCACCAUGAAAGCAUCAUCCAUCCCAGCUCUAAAGACACGAACAUCUUCACAUCUCUGAUCUGAUUGUAAGACUGUAAACCUGUCUUUACUUACAUGCAUCCUUUCUUACUGUUUCACUCCUCUCCUCACUAUCUGUUUCCCCAUUCUUGACAUUGAAAUUGCUAUCUCUUUGGGGCAGAAAUCUGUCCUUUUUUUUGGUUCAUGUUGCAGGGUAAAAUUCCAUCCACAGCCAUGAUGCUACAUAAUUGAAAACGUGUGUCUGGAAAAAGGCGGCUACGACUGUCAUAAGACAUUGGAAACCCUGUUGGGUUAUGUUCUGAUAUAUAAUUCAACCAGGAAAUUAAACAAGUUGCAGCAGUUUCCACUGAUGCAUGCAGUGACCAUAAGAAAUGCAUCAGAUCUCUCAGAUGAGAUGCACUGCCAGUGUGCCUUUGGUCACUGGCUUAUAAACUGUGCAAACUUUGACUGCAGAAACUUUUAGGACACUUAGAAGUUAUGAUUGGAAUGGUAUCCCGUUGCUCUGACAUGGGAUACCAUAGAAAGCAGAAGGUGGGAGAGAAGCAGAUCUGUUUCCCGAAAGAUAACCCCAAUAACCUUCUACAACACUGAGUUAUUAAUACGAAUUAAUAGCAGUGCAAGAACAUGUCAUUGGGUGCAUGAGUCUAAAAUUGUUUUGUUGUUAUUAAUGUGUGUUUCCACUCAUCCUUCAAAGAGGUCA